AGUCAGAGCUGGGGAGUGACAGGAGAUGAGAAGAGUGGAUUAGAAAUGGCUCACAGAUACAGAGAGUUUAAAAUAUAUUAGCUCAAAGUAGAAUGGUUCACCUCCAAUCACAGUAUUGCAAGAAAGGCAUCCUGGAACACAAACCUUCCUCUCCUCCCCUCCUUUACUGAGGGGAAUGGAUUUCAGUAUAGACCUUUUGUGUACUGUCAGACAUGGCCAGUGUGUUGGACAUCUUUCCUCUACAAUGCUGGGGCAAUGGGAAAGAAUAAGAGGAAAAAUGUGCUUGUCUCUAGAAUUACUUUUCCCUCUACUUGACCCAAAAUAAAACACACAACAUGUAU